UUUGUUUAUAAUUAUAAUCAUAUACAUAAUCAACAUAGUUAAAAAAAAGUUUGAAAAAACCUCCACAGUGCUGGGUGUAAUAAGAAAAUUAGCAAAGUAAUAAUAAAUUAGUCAUUAGCAAUCUUCUUUAUCUUCUAGAUCUGAAUCGUCCUCACCAAUAUCGGGACCAGUAGGGUUACAAUCAGUUGUUUUUAACUGUUUAUAAAAAUUGUGAAAAUACUUCAUCAAUUAACUUCUGAAGAUUCAUUAAAUCUUUCUUCUUUUCGGCACUGAUCGGGUCUUCAAAGAUUUGGUCCAAUCUAAUUGAUUCAUAUUAUCUACCUUUUUUCUUAAAAUUUACAGUGUUGAAAACGGAUUCCCAAUUAAGCUCAUCUUUCAAAUGAUUUAUGCCCAAACUCGUUUUAUUGUAUAGCAACUAUUUAAUCGGUUGCCAUAAAAACUUUUGUUGAAGCAUCAUUCAUCAUUCUUCUUCAGAGAAAGAGAAGCAUCAUUCUUCUUUAGAAAAAACGGUCGUUUUUUGGAUUUUAACACUAAAAAAUCAAAGAAGUCUUUCAUGGUCAUUACUGUAGUAAAAGAGUUGUAACUCUAAAAGGAUUUUAAAGUUAUUAUGCAUUAUGCAUGUUCUCACUAGCUGUAUACAAGCAUUUUAGUGAUUAAUCUUAAUUUGUGUCCUUUUCUUUGUUUUUUCUAUUAUUGCGUGAUGAGAGUCGCACUCCAUAUAUAAUUUUGUAGUGAAUUGUUUACAGCGUAGGAUGAUUGUUUAGUAGGUACAUAAACAUCAUGACAACAAUAUUAUUUUUAUUUUGGCCGCCACAAGUAUCUGAGUAGAAAAUUACUUCCUUCACAUUUGACGGCAAUCUAUUGCAAAAGUGCCACAAACAUGAUCCAAUUUGAUUGGCUACUCCAGCUCCUAUGCUGUCGUCACACAUAUAGCAUGCCUCAUUACUUUCCAGGUCAUGUAUAGUUAAACUAAAGGACCAAAGCUGUCGUUUAUAAAAAGAUACUGAGGAUUUUAAAUAAGGCGUUGGCAAGCAUCGUUGAAGAUCAAACGUAAAUGCCCUAAUCGAAGAGUCGUUCUUUAAAAUAUCUUUGUCAAUCUUUUUUUCAUUAUAAGCUUUUUCAGCUUGAGAUUGAUGUUCGGCUAAUUCAGCAAUCAAAUUUAUUUUUCGAUCGGGGACUGCCACUUUAAUUUUAAGGCAUCACAUGUAUUGCAAGUGUCUUUUGAGGGUUGUUUAAACGAGAGAUUUAGGUCAUGGAAGCAUUUGGCAUAAAGUUUUAAAGAAACAGGAUUUAACGUAAAUUCUUUAUAAUCCCGAUACAUUUUUUCAAUCGAUAAAUCGGUAGCAAGGUAUUUCUUGCCAAUGGAUUUAAUGGCCAAUAGUGGCUUUCGUAGCUCGGGAAACUGGAAAUGUGUUCUCGGACAGACAUCAUAAUUGCCAAUAAUAUUCAAAACACUGUUUCCUUUCAGCCACUGUAAUUCUUUCAGCACAUUUUAAAUUACAUAUUCGUAAAUCUUUAGUUUUUCUCUCAGAGACUAAUUAAUUUAACUGCAUUCAGUCGGCCAUAACUGGAUAAUUAGAAAUGUUCAAUUAUGUUAAAACAUUGUGUUAUAAUACCUAUAUUAAUGAGUACUUAGUUGGCGGAUUUGAUUUAGAGACAAAAAAUGAAUUUUACGAAGAGCAUAAAUAAAAAUAAGACUUCAAAUGACUUUUUAUAGUUCGAGUAAAUAUGAAAUUAUGAACCACAAAAAUGUAUUUGCAAAAAAAUGCUUACAGAUACAUUUGCAUUGUAUUAUUCAGAAUAAAGUUUUAUGAUACGAUUAUAUUAUCUAUAAAUGAGGUUUAUCAAUGUUAAUAAAGUAAAGUUGGUACAAGUAUGUUGAUACAUACAAAGGUAAUCUUAAUUGUCAUUUUUCAAGAUUGGUAGAAUUUUUUGGACACAAGAUCAUAAGAUAUUAUAUAUCUAAUAAUAUCAACAUAAAUGAUUAAACAAAAAAUGUUAAAUGUACAAGUUGAGCUAUCAAAUUUCGGAUAAUAAUAAUGUGUGUUUUGGUUGGCGAGCACAACUUGUUAAAACUUUAUAUCAAUAGGUGAACAGAAUAAAUUUCCAACUGAUUUUAAUGGCUUAGAAAUAUUUAUUUGUUUAAAAUAUGGUAUCAACAACAUUAAUUUUUUUGCGUGUAGCGAUUUAAUAUAAAAUUGUGAGUAUUGUGUGUGACUGUUAGGAAAGAAUACUAAGUGCAAUAUAAAUGUAUUUAUUUAAAAAAAUGUGUAGUGAAACAGUAAAUAUAAAUUUUGCAUAUAUUUUUCGCAAUUCUAGUGAAAUCGUAAAUAUUAUUAUUUUGUUUUUGAUACACACACAUUAAUUACAUUAGAGUCUUAAAUAAAUACAAAUAAAAAUUAAAAAUAGUUUCUGUAGAAAUAGUGACCGUGUGGAAUGGUGGCAAGAAUGCUAGCAGCAUUUCCUCUUUGAGUCGCAAUUCCAAUUCUCUGGGCGAAAAAUGAACCGCCCUCCUUUCACCGGUAAACACAAUAAGGGGGUGUCAUAUUUUUGAUGAAAGUGUUUGCAAUAUUAUUCCAAGUUCCAUUUGUAAAUUGUUAUUAUAACUAUUUUUCACUAGCCGACCCGGCGGAAUUCGUUCCAUUUAAAGCUUUUGGUAAACAAUAUUUUUGUCUUUUUUUGUGGUGCGUAAAUAUAUAAAGAUGAUGGUUUUCCGACCCGCGGACACGUGACGCAUAAUUAUCCAUGAGAUAAACAGGGAAACUCAAAGUUCGCAAACUCCCAAACUGCCCUUGCGAUUUAUUGUCAUCGCAAAAGGCCAAACGCACGGGAAAUUGUAGACGCCUGUCCUGUCCUUUGUACUUUCCCUUGAUGAUUGUCGCCUCAAUGAUGUUAUUCAUUAGCUUGUUCACUGUUAGUCUCGUUCCAUUCCACAAUCGUUGGUUGGUUUAUGGUACGCAGCAAGUACUCGCCUAUACACCACUCAUACAACAUCAGCUCCGCGUUAAAAUAUCAUUAAAAAUCGAAUUCCGGGCAGAUUGUCGCGAAAACAAGUUUGAGUGAAAUAUAAGUGUGUGAUUCACCGGGAUUAUUGUUUGCCACGCUCCAGGACAAAGGGUUUCUGAGGGAGAAACUCGAAACUCCAGGAUUAACUGCUCCCAAGAGCGGAAGAAAACCUAUCCGCAAACACCCUCUUCAAAAAGAUUGGACAGGAACUGGCGAAGAUAUUAAGAUUAGAAAGCAUAAAGAAAUAACCUUAAAACCACGCAGGCUGCACGCGGGUAACCUAAGAAACGCAGUACACGUUUUUUUGUCGAAAAACCGCAUAGAGCGCCGCCACAGACGCGAGGCUACUUGUAGACUCUGCCCCAUCGGAGGAUCAGUUUACCAGAGCUAGCUGCUAGGUGAGGAUCCACGGAACCGUAACUUUCCCUCAACCCAACCCCCCUUGCGACGGCUUAGUCAAACCAGCGCAAGGAGACCCUACAAGAAAACCCCUUUUCAAAAAAUCACCAAUCUCCUCCCCGCAAGAUCAUAAUCCAAUAGUAAUAUAAUAUAUACAUUAUAAUACUUACAAUUACAUAGACCUAAGUCAUCUAAAAGUAGUAGUACUAGAACGCACUGGGAACAUGAAAAGAAAAGCCAAAGUUGCCGUCCAUGACUCUGCAGGGACUCCACGAGACAGUGUUGACCCUCUCGGACUCAGGAAUCGACAUAAGUACAACCUGGAACAAGAGCGCUCUCGACACGCAAAAGGACUAAUGCGAUCGCAAAUCGAUAUAAUCGAAAACGCUUACAAUAAAGAGAUAAGCAACUACAAGGUUGUCACAACAACAGUCGAGCAACUGCAGGAGACCCGCAGAGAUAUAAACGGGGCUCCGAAGGAAACUCAGGUGGUUUGGAGCUGGCUCGGCUACAAGACCGUGAAGCCCAUCAGAGAGGCGCAGAAGGGUUUAGAAGGCAGGCUUAAGGCCCAGACCUCCGUCACCACCGACAACGUGAAAGAGGGAGCAAGAUGAGAGAAGGUAGAAGAUGUGUUUUUUCAACUUUGGAGUAAAACACAUCAGCAGCCUCGGAAACCAGCUGGACGUUCUUCGGCAAGAGGUUGACAAAACCAAAACCCUUGUCGCUGAUCUACCUAAGUCUCCCGAAGUCACUGCUCCCCAAACUCCUCCUACAAUAGACAAUAAUCUCAGGGAGAUACUGUCCAAGUGGAGUCAAAUCUGGAAGAGCCAAAACAGACAAUGCAGAACAUAGAAAAAAACACACAAAUAUAAAUAAAUAAUAUAAAUAAAUGCAGUACAGUAACAGUCUGUUAAUGUCCCACUGCUAGGCUAAGGCCUCCUCUCCAUUUUGAGGAGAAGGUUUGGAGCUUAUUCCACCACGCUGCUUUAAUGCGGGUUGGUAGAAUACACAUGUGGCAGAAUUUCACGAUGUUUUCCUUCACCGUCAAGCACGAGAUGAAUUAUAAACACAAAUUAAGCAUGAAUAUUCAGUGGUUCUUGCCCGGGUUUGAAUCUACGAUCAUCGGUUAAGAUUUACGCGAUCUUACCACUGGGCCAUCUCGGCUUUUUUAAAUAAUAAAUAAAUAACAUAGAGAUAAUGUCAAAGAAACUGGACAUAUGUCGUCCGAAGUGCGCGCUCUUAGGAACGCAAAACCCAAGGCCAUCCCUGGAAAUCGAAUUAACGGUCAAGGAAGUGACCCUUGACAAUUAUAAAUCAGGGAGCAACAGUGAAAAACAGGUCACGGGCCCACUAACUUUUGCUCAGGCAAAGCCGAAAUCCGCCUACAUUCUAUAGUACCCGUUUUCUCCUACAUUCUAUGGUACCCGGCGAUAAAUAUAGCCUCAGAAAUCGACCUUAGAAAAUAAACACGAAAUUUUAGUUGACACAAAAUUGACGAAACCCCAGGUGUACGAUAUAUGAAAGCACAAGAAGAGGUUUACAGAAUUUUCCGUGGACUUACUUUUACUCUUGCACUUGUUGAACAUGGGCAUGCUGUGUUGCGAUAGCCACCAUAUCAUCCGAAUUUUUAUCCGAUUGAAAAUAUAUGGUCUCAACUGGAAAGCUGUAAAUUAUAUUUAGAUAAUUAAAAGUUUUUAGUAUUUAUUUAUUUAACAAUAUAAACAACCAAAUAACAAUUAAAUGUUGGCACUACAAAAACCACGAAAGUUUAACUUGAGUGCCAUUCCGUCUAUGGGUUUACAUACAAUAUACGCUAAUAUUCCUCAUAAUUAUUUCUCGCCUUGUUCCGUUAUCUAAGACAUUUAUUAAGCUAUUUAUUAGAAUUUACUAGAAUAUUCAACAAUAAUACCUAUUGUGUAACGGUGUUUGUUAUGUAUACUAAAUCUGUAUCUAAAAAAAUCCUUAAACAUGAUCUUUUUAUUUUAUUUUUCCACAGCCUAAGGACAGCACUUAUAGAAAAAAAUGGUGUAUUUUAGUCAAAUACACAGACACUUAUAAUUGAUUUAGAGCUCCUAAUAGAUACCGGUCUGUUAGUGUUUCGUGGGACAGAGAUAAAGCCUUGCGAAGCCAAAAUUAGCAGAUUGUCUCUUUCCAAAGGAUCGACCUUAUUCUCAGGUGCAAUAUUUAUUCCCGGGUACUAUUAUAUUUUGGUAUACAAAUAAAUGUCAAGCAAUUUAAUAGCUACUGUAACGUCAUGCCAUAUAAUGCCACGCUAUAUAUCGCCACGCCACAAGCCGAAACAAGACAAACCAAGCCAUGCCAUGCCAUGCCACGACACGACACUUAAAGCCGGUACUCUCCACUAAGCCCGUCUGUAACCAUUACUGGCGUCACAUUCGAGUGACAACAGAACUUAAUACCCGAUCGGCUCAUUUGGGAAUGUCACAAACAAUACAAAAUGUGUACAAAAAUGUUGCUAUGGCAAUCAAAAUAACGGACGAGAUGAUGUUGCCAUGACAACGGAAAAUAACAGUGGUAAAUUGGAAAAGUUUUAAGAUAUAAAUAUACAUUUGAUUAUUGA